UUGACCUCGGAUCAGGUAGGGAUACCCGCUGAACUUAAGCAUAUCAAUAAGCGGAGGAAAAGAAACCAACAGGGAUUGCCCCAGUAACGGCGAGUGAAGCGGCAAGAGCUCAAAUUUGAAAGCUGGCCCCCUCGGGGUCCGCAUUGUAAUUUGCAGAGGAUGCUUCGGGAGCGGUCCCCAUCUAAGUACCCUGGAACGGGUCGUCAUAGAGGGUGAGAAUCCCGUAUGGGAUGGGGUGUCCGCGCCCGUGUGAAGCUCCUUCGACGAGUCGAGUUGUUUGGGAAUGCAGCUCUAAAUGGGUGGUAAAUUUCAUCUAAAGCUAAAUAUUGGCCGGAGACCGAUAGCGCACAAGUAGAGUGAUCGAAAGAUGAAAAGCACUUUGAAAAGAGAGUUAAAAAGCACGUGAAAUUGUUGAAAGGGAAGCGCUUGCGACCAGACUCGCCCGCGGGGUUCAGCCGGCAUUCGUGCCGGUGUACUUCCCCGCGGGCGGGCCAGCGUCGGUUUGGGCGGCCGGUCAAAGGCCCUCGGAAUGUAACGCCCCUCGGGGCGUCUUAUAGCCGAGGGUGCCAUGCGGCCUGCCCGGACCGAGGAACGCGCUUCGGCUCGGACGCUGGCAUAAUGGUCGUAAGCGACC
rnacentral:rRNA from 1 species